rnacentral:piRNA from 1 species
CAUGUCUUAAUUUGGAAAAC